UUUUGUGGCAGCUGAGGGGCGGUGGGAAAUGGCGGGAGCGGGGCUGAGGGGGGCUGGGGGUUAGCUGCGUCUCGCCAGCUGUGCUGGACCGCUUUUAAUGUACAGGUCAUGGAUCCCGCUAAAUGGAUGAAAAGUGCAGUAAGGAAGGACCUUAAGGAAUGGACCUUAUAAUGGGAAGGACCUUAAAGCUCAUCCGGUUCUACGCUCCCCGCCCCCUACGGGCAGGGACACCUCCCACCAUCCCAGUCUUUUGCAGCAUUAAUGAAAUCUCCCAAAAGACUGUUUAAAAUAUGUAAGGGAAGGUUGGUUACCCAGGCCCUAUUCCAGAGGGUGCACAAGGACUUGCACUUGCACUUGCACAAUGUUCACAGCUAUACAUAUUUUCACCGUGAC